rnacentral:rRNA from 1 species
CCUUAGAGUUUGAUCCUGGCUCAGGAUGUUCGCUGGCGGCGUGCCUAACACAUGCAAGUCGAACGGAUCCAUACUGAAACCUAGUGAUGUAUGGAUUAGUGGCGGACGGGUGAGUAACGCGUGGAUAACCUGCCGUAUACAGGGGGAUAACACUUAGAAAUAGGUGCUAAUACCGCAUAAGCGCACGGUUCCGCAUGGAACAGUGUGAAAAACUCCGGUGGUAUACGAUGGAUCCGCGUCUGAUUAGCCAGUUGGUGGGGUAACGGCCCACCAAAGCGACGAUCAGUAGCCGGCCUGAGAGGGUGAACGGCCACAUUGGGACUGAGACACGGCCCAAACUCCUACGGGAGGCAGCAGUGGGGAAUAUUGCACAAUGGGGGGAAACCCUGAUGCAGCGACGCCGCGUGAAGGAAGAAGUAUUUCGGUAUGUAAACUUCUAUCAGCAGGGAAGAAAGUGACGGUACCUGACUAAGAAGCCCCGGCUAACUACGUGCCAGCAGCCGCGGUAAUACGUAGGGGGCAAGCGUUAUCCGGAUUUACUGGGUGUAAAGGGAGCGUAGGCGGCGAUGCAAGUCAGAAGUGAAAGCCCGGGGCUCAACUCCGGGACUGCUUUUGAAACUGUAUGGCUAGAUUGCAGGAGAGGCAAGUGGAAUUCCUAGUGUAGCGGUGGAAUGCGUAGAUAUAUGGAAGAACACCGAUGGCGAAGGCAGCUCUCUGGGCCGUCACUGACGCUGAGGCGCGAAAGCUGGGGGAGCGAACAAAAUUAGAUACCCUGGUAGUCCCAGCCGUAAACCACCGAAAAUAGGUGUGGGGGGAUCCCCCCUCCGUGCAGCAGCCAAAACAUUUAAGUUUCCCGGCAUGGGGAGUACGGGCCGCAAGCUUAAAACUCAAAGGAAUUGACGGGGGCCCGCACAAGCAGCGGAGCAUGUGGCUUAAUUCGAAGCAACGCGAAGAACCUUACCAGGGCUUGACAUGCGCCUGAAGCCGCGGAGACGCGGUGGCCGAGAGGAGGGCGCGCAGGUGGUGCAUGGCUGUUCGUCAGCUCGUGUCGUGAGAUGUUGGGUUAAGUCCCGCAACGAGCGCAACCCCCGUCCCGUGUUGCCAGCAUUAGGUUGGGGACUCGCGGGAGACUGCCGGCGUCAAGCCGGAGGAAGGUGGGGACGACGUCAAGUCAUCAUGCCCCUUAUGCCCUGGGCUGCACACGUGCUACAAUGGCCGGUACAGAGGGUUGCCACCCCGCGAGGGGGAGCGGAUCCCGGAAAGCCGGCCCCAGUUCGGAUCGCAGGCUGCAACCCGCCUGCGUGAAGCCGGAGUUGCUAGUAAUCGCGGAUCAGCACGCCGCGGUGAAUACGUUCCCGGGCCUUGUACACACCGCCCGUCA